AACGAACGCUGGCGGCAUGCCUAACACAUGCAAGUCGAACGAGACCUUCGGGUCUAGUGGCGCACGGGUGUGUAACGCGUGGGGACCUGCCCUUAGGUUCGGAAUAACUCCCCGAAAGGGGUGCUAAUACCGGAUAAUGUCUUCGGACCAAAGAUUUAUCGCCUUUGGAUGGGCCCGCGUUGGAUUAGCUAGUUGGCAGGGUAAAAGCCUACCAAGGCGACGAUCCAUAGCUGGUCUGAGAGGAUGAUCUGCCACACUGGGACUGAGACACGGCCCAGACUCCUACGGGAGGCAGCAGUGGGGAAUAUUGGACAAUGGGCGAAAGCCUGAUCCAGCAAUGCCGCGUGAGUGAUGAAGGCCUUAGGGUUGUAAAGCUCUUUUACCCGGGAUGAUAAUGACAGUACCGGGAGAAUAAGCUCCGGCUAACUCCGUG
rnacentral:rRNA from 1 species